UUGGAGGGCAAGUCUGGUGCCAGCAGCCGCGGUAAUUCCAGCUCCAAUAGCGUAUAUUAAAGUUGCUGCAGUUAAAAAGCUCGUAGUUGAAUUUCGGGAUCAUCAUGUCGGUCGUGCCUCGGUACGUACUGGCAUCGUUGAUUUCUCCCUUCUGACGAACCAUGAUGUCAUUUAUUUGGUGUUGUGGGGAAUCAGGACUGUUACUUUGAAAAAAUUAGAGUGUUUAAAGCAGGCUCACGCUUGAAUACAUUAGCAUGGAAUAAUGAAAUAGGACGUUUGAUUCUAUUUUGUUGGUUUCUAGGAUCGACGUAAUGAUUAAUAGGGAUAGUUGGGGGCAUUAGUAUUCAAUUGUCAGAGGUGAAAUUCUUGGAUUUAUUGAAGACUAACUACUGCGAAAGCAUUUGCCAAGGAUGUUUUCAUUAAUCAAGAACGAAAGUUAGGGGAUCGAAGACGAUCAGAUACCGUCGUAGUCUUAACCAUAAACUAUGCCGACUAGGGAUCGGAUGAUGUUAAUUUUUUAAUGACUCAUUCGGCGCCUUACGGGAAAC
rnacentral:rRNA from 1 species